CAUUCAAAUGGAGCAAAGGUUUAUAGUGGCUCAUAAUUUGGAGGUUUUAGUCUGUGGUCACUUGGCUCUGUUACUUUGGCCUGUGGUGGCACAGAGCAUCAUGGCAAGGAGCAGCUGAUGGAGGAGACUUGGUCACCUUGGGUCAGCUGGGAAGUACAGAGAGGAAGGACAGGAAGACGAGGUGCCAGGGCCCUAACAUCCCCUUUGAAGGCUCAUCCUCAAUGACCUAGCUUCCUCCCACUAGGCCCUGUCUCCUAAAGGCUUUAGUAGCCAAGACAUUGGUGGCCAAGAGCCUGGUGAGUAUAGCCCGGAUUGAGACAGAGACACAGGAAGUAGUGAGAGAUGGUCAGAGACUUGGAUGGCUGAACAUGGGCUCACCAGGACUUCCUGACAGAUCGGGUGAAAGGUCACUGGAUCCCUCUGCAGAUGGCUCUUCUGUCCUCCUGGGAAGACCUCGUCCUGAGGUUCCCUGUACCUGUGCUCCCCAGCAUCUCAGAGACCCCCAAGAACCGGUGAACAUGGUAUUGGAACCGUGACUUCUGGGGGUGCCCAGAAAUCAACACCAAUCUAUUGUCCCGUCCCAGAGGCCAGGAGUCCAACAUCGGGGUAUCAGCAGGUGUGCCCCCACCAGUCUCUAGAGAAGGGCCUGCUGCCUCUCCCAGCUGGGGGCUGUGGUGUCCCUUGGCUUGUGGUGCCUUCCAGCCCCUGGCCUGUCGUCUCGUGAACCUCUCCUCUGUGUCCAUGUCACCUGGAAAUCCAGGACGAUCUCGUCUCAAGAGCCUUACCGUAACCUAGCCACCAAGAUGAGGUCACAUUCUGGGGUUCCAACUGAACAUAGAUCUGAGGGGUCACAAUUUGACCCCCUACACAAAGGAGCCCCCAGAUGCCUUUCCCUGACUAACCUUCCACUUCACAGCACUCAGCUCCCUGGCAGAUUUGAGUUUGCUUGUUCUUUCUCCCUGGCUCCUGAACCAGAAUGGCAGCCAGCGGGAUGGGCAGAAAGAAACCCAGGCAGGAGCUGAUCGGUGCAACGGGUGCAAGUGAGGACCUAGCCGCUUUCUUUCCUCCUCCAUCUGUGGAAGCGCCUGUGGGAAUUAGGCUGUUUUUCCCUGCGCACACAUGCACAGAGCCCAUUUCCGUGACUCUCCAGGCCUCCUGUCGUCACAGGGACUCCAGUCCCACUGGGUGUAGAGCCCGCUCUUCCAUCCUAACCGAUUGUAUCUGUGAAGACCCCAUUUCCAGAGAAGGUCACACUCUGAGGUAUUGGGGGCUGGCACAAAAUUGGAGGAUUGCAUGCGGGAGAGGAAGUGACCUUGGAGGGUCUUCUGUGCAGCCGACUCCUUGGCUGAGGAGCUGGGAGGUGAGGGCGUCUUGUCCCCAGAACAGCAGAACUGUGAGGACCGGGGCUCUGCUCAUAGCCACAGUAUGCCCGGAGGAGAAUCAACACGUCUUUGGCCUUCCCCACAUGCCGCCAGAUGCCCUUUGUCUCCCCAGUGAGAUUCUUGGGGAUGGUGAGCAUGGUGGGGGGCGGGCCAGGCUCAAGCCCAGGAGGAGGUGUGGGUGUCCCUCUCUGGCACCUCCCUCUAGCUACCUGUUUUCCAGGAGAGGUGGAGGGUGGGCUGGGGCUGGGCAGGGCCCCCUGGGCUCCUUCCUUCAAUCCCAGAGCCACCGAGAAGAGAGAGAAGGGAGCCCCAACUCCUCCCUCAGCUCAGCCGGUCUCCCAGAGGGCUGAGUUUGCUUGAUGUCCUCCUGCCUGCUGCACCCAGCCCUGGACAGGGCUGUCUUGAGCUGGGUGGGGUGGGCCUGAAAGGCUGGCUUCUGGAUUCUGGCCUUCUCUGCUGAGCCCCAGUGGGGGUGCUGGAGGACUGGACAGCGGCCUGUGGGGAGGUGGGGCCGCAGCCAGCAGUUUUUCAACUGAGAGUCUCAUGGCUGCCCAGCUUCAGAACUGCUCUCCACUCCAGGCCCCGCUGGCCCUCGUGGUUCCUCUAAAUCCCCUCAGAGUGGCACUUGUGCCCCCUCUCCUCACCGUGGCCUGUUCAGGACACCCUGGUGGGUAGGGGGCAGCCCUCCCCACAGUCCUCCAGCCACCAGGGGGAUGCAGACAGGCCUGAGCUCCAAGUGGAACCCUGGCUGGGCCCUAGGUACCCUCCCCACCAGCCCUAGCUCUGCUCUUCACACCAGGCAGUUCCCUGGGUGCCUCCUCAUUGGCUUGGGGGAGGACCUGACAGAGGAGCAGGGGACCAGACCUGGGCCUUUCCUCCUCUGCAAAAGGGCUGAUCACAUGAGCAGAUCCAGGCUACUUGGAGACACAGCCAAGGACCGGAUCUCACUUCUCACACCCUGCCCCAGGCUCCUGGAGAAGCCUGUCCUGCUUGGUUCCCAAGCUGUCCUCGGAUGUGGUCCCUGGCCAUGGGCCUGGCUGGCCCCCAAACUCUCCACGUGGGAGGCCUGGGUAGAUUCCACCAUGGUGUGUUAUACGUGGCUGCCUCAGGGCUCCCCUCCCAGCUGUGGCUUUAAAA